rnacentral:rRNA from 1 species
AUUGAACGCUGGCGGCAGGCCUAACACAUGCAAGUCGAGCGGCAGCGGGAAAGUAGCUUGCUACUUUUGCCGGCGAGCGGCGGACGGGUGAGUAAUGCCUGGGAAAUUGCCCAGUCGAGGGGGAUAACAGUUGGAAACGACUGCUAAUACCGCAUACGCCCUACGGGGGAAAGCAGGGGACCUUCGGGCCUUGCGCGAUUGGAUAUGCCCGGGUGGGAUUAGCUAGUUGGUGAGGUAAUGGCUCACCAAGGCGACGAUCCCUAGCUGGUCUGAGAGGAUGAUCAGCCACACUGGAACUGAGACACGGUCCAGACUCCUACGGGAGGCAGCAGUGGGGAAUAUUGCACAAUGGGGGAAACCCUGAUGCAGCCAUGCCGCGUGUGUGAAGAAGGCCUUCGGGUUGUAAAGCACUUUCAGCGAGGAGGAAAGGUUGAUGCCUAAUACGUAUCAACUGUGACGUUACUCGCAGAAGAAGCACCGGCUAACUCCGUGCCAGCCGCCGCGGUAAGAC